rnacentral:rRNA from 1 species
GUAGGUGGCAAGCGUUGUCCGGAAUUAUUGGGCGUAAAGCGCGCGCAGGCGGUUUUCUAAGUCUGAUGUGAAAGCCCACGGGCUCGACCGUGGAGGGUCAUUGGAAACUGGAGAACUUGAGUACAGAAGAGGAAAGCGGAAUUCCACGUGUAGCGGUGAAAUGCGUAGAGAUGUGGAGGAACACCAGUGGCGAAGGCGGCUUUCUGGUCUGUAACUGACGCUGAGGCGCGAAAGCGUGGGGAGCAAACAGGAUUAGAUACCCUGGUAGUCCACGCCGUAAACGAUGAGUGCUAAGUGUUAGGGGGUUUCCGCCCCUUAGUGCUGCAGCUAACGCAUUAAGCACUCCGCCUGGGGAGUACGGCCGCAAGGCUG